rnacentral:rRNA from 1 species
GAUGAACGCUGGCGGCGUGCCUAAUACAUGCAAGUCGAGCGAAUGGAUUAAGAGCUUGCUCUUAUGAAGUUAGCGGCGGACGGGUGAGUAACACGUGGGUAACCUGCCCAUAAGACUGGGAUAACUCCGGGAAACAGGGGCUAAUACCGGAUAACAUUUUGAACCGCAUGGUUCGAAAUUGACAGGCGGCUUCGGCUGUCACUUAUGGAUGGACCAGCGUCGCAUUAGCUAGUUGGUGAGGUAACGGCUCACCAAGGCAACGAUGCGUAGCCGACCUGAGAGGGUGAUCGGCCACACUGGGACUGAGACACGGCCCAGACUCCUACGGGAGGCAGCAGUAGGGAAUCUUCCGCAAUGGACGAAAGUCUGACGGAGCAACGCCGCGUGAGUGAUGAAGGCUUUCGGGUCGUAAAACUCUGUUGUUAGGGAAGAACAAGUGCUAGUUGAAUAAGCUGGCACCUUGACGGUGCCUAACCAGAAAGCCACGGCUAACUACGUGCCAGCCGCCGCCGUAA